rnacentral:tRNA from 1 species
GGUUGUAGCUCAGUGGUAGAGCGCUCGCCUAGCAUGUGUGAGGCCCUGGGUUCGAUCCUCAGCACCA